UAGACGUGUACUUCCUUCCUUUCCAAUCAAGAAUCCAACACUCGCACCAGCUCUACAUAUGCGAACAGCUGCAUUGCCACAGUUAUUUGCUUCAGGUCAAAGCAAAAAGCAUUUGUUGGUGCAUUACUGGUCUUUCCCACCUGUUGAUGUAAAAAAGACAUCACAGCAUCUCCUCUACAAAAUAAAUGGAUCAUUUUUAACCAU